UUGAACGCUGGCGGCAGGCCUAACACAUGCAAGUCGAGCGGAUGAAGGGAGCUUGCUCCUGGAUUCAGCGGCGGACGGGUGAGUAAUGCCUUGGAAUCUGCCUGGUAGUGGGGGAUAACGUCCGGAAACGGGCGCUAAUACCGCAUACGUCCUGAGGGAGAAAGUGGGGGAUCUUCGGACCUCACGCUAUCAGAUGAGCCUAGGUCGGAUUAGCUAGUUGGUGGGGUAAAGGCCUACCAAGGCGACGAUCCGUAACUGGUCUGAGAGGAUGAUCAGUCACACUGGAACUGAGACACGGUCCAGACUCCUACGGGAGGCAGCAGUGGGGAAUAUUGGACAAUGGGCGAAAGCCUGAUCCAGCCAUGCCGCGUGUGUGAAGAAGGUCUUCGGAUUGUAAAGCACUUUAAGUUGGGAGGAAGGGCAGUAAGUUAAUACCUUGCUGUUUUGACGUUACCAACAGAAUAAGCACCGGCUAACUUCGUG
rnacentral:rRNA from 1 species